ensembl:lncRNA
GCAUCAGUGGUGACUAACUUCAUUUGCUGUGAAGAGAUUUCUUUGAUCAGAAGCAGUACUAUGUGGGAUACCAUGAUGGUGGAUAAGGCAUUCUGUAAGAUGAUCAUUUUGAUGGAAGCAAUGCAUGCAGAGGAGGAAAAUCCAGAUCCAGAGUAAGGGAUAACUGCAGUAAGGACCAAACACGGCUCAUUCCAUGAAGAAAGAGGUCCAGUGUAACCAACCUGCUACCAGGUAACGUGUGAUGGACCCACUACGUCUGGGCCCUCCUAAGUUUUUAAUUCUCAAACUUGUCCACACUGAUCUUCUAGCAAUUGCAGUUCUGGUUUUCUAACUCUGGCCCUGGCUCCUGAGAAAGAGACUGCUCAUAGACUUCUGCUCCAACAUCCCUGAAAAAAUGCAGACCUGAUCAAUCACUUGACUGAACUCUACUUGAAACACAUGGACUUUGGUCAAAUAAGCAUUUGCCACUUGAUUUGUACAGCAUUCCAACAAACGUCCAACUCAAGUCUUCUCUUGAACCUGAUCUGCAAGGUUGUUUCUGAUGGAGUUUCGCUCUUGUUGCCCAGGCUGGAGUGCAAUGGCGUGAUCUCAGCUCACCGCACCCUCUGUCUUCCUGGUUCAAGCGAUUCUCCUGCCUCAGCCUCCUGAGUAGCUGGGAUUACAGGCAUGCGCCACCACGCCCAGGUAAUUUUGUAUUUUUAGUAAAGACAGAGUUUCUGCAUGUUGGGCAGGCUGGUCUAAAAUUACUAGAAAAAUAGAAGUAAUUUAUUAUAGCAAUUUAUUUAAGUUAUUCUUAUAUUUAAAAUACCAGCAGUUAAAUAUGCCUAGGAAAAUCUAAAUAAUGACCAUUGGUAUUGGAAGGAAAUUGGGGCAGUGUUUAACCUAAAGGGAUGACUAACAUCAGUAGAAUUUCAGUCACUGUGAUACCUGGGAAGGGAAGAGAAUUUUUUUGGGAGGUGCACGCAGUUGGCUUUUUUCAUGCUGUUUGAGUUAUAAUAAUCAAAUAAUUGUCUAAAUUGAGCAUGAAGGUUUUCUUACUUCUAUAUGUUCAAUAGUGUAUUGAAAUUUAAAAAUUUAUGUAAAACAGAAUUUAAGGAGUCUAUUUGCAAAUCUUAGAAUCCCUAAUAGAUUUUAACUUCUCUGAGAGCAGGGGCUAUGCCUUUUACAGCUUUAUUUCUCAGUACUAUAUAGUAGAAAUUUUAUAUACUUACUUAUAGUUAAUAUCAUUAACAUAUUUGAUAGUAGAUAUUUAAUAAAGAUUAGUAGAUUGGAUAUGUUGAUGUAUUUUUAAAAUUUAGUCUGUUUUGAAGCAGAGUCUGACUCUGUUGCCCAGGCUGGAGUGCAUGGCGUGAUCAUGGCUUACUGCAAUCUCUGCCUCCUGUAUUCAAGCGAUUCUCAUGCCUCAGCCUCCUGAGUAGUUGGGAUUACAGGCAUGUGCCGCUUUGGCAUGGCUAAUUUUUGUGUUUUUAGUAGAGAUGGGGUUUUGCCAUGAUGGCCAGGCUGGUCUCGAACUCCUGGCCUCAAGCAAUCCACCCGUCUCGGCCUCCCAAAGUGCUGGGAUUAUAGGCGUGAGCCACAGCACCUGGCCAGAUAUAUUUUAAAAAUUUAGAUACAAACAUACUAUUAUAUGGGUGAGAGC